rnacentral:lncRNA from 1 species
ACAUCCUAACUCAAACCUGUCUUAAAACCCAAAAACUUUAAGAACAACACCGUUUUCUUUUGCAAAUUUUUUUUGGUAGGGCUAAAGGAGUGGGGAGAUGAGGAUGUACUAAAGAUACACUAUAUUGGUGACUCGUCAGACACAUGUAUUUUCUAAAACACACUAACUAAAAACAAAAUAAAACAAAGUAAACAACUAAAAAGCAAUAAAAAUAAACAA